ACGUAGGGGGCAAGCGUUAUCCGGAUUUACUGGGUGUAAAGGGAGCGUAGACGGCAGCGCAAGUCUGAAGUGAAAGCCCGGGGCUCAACCCCGGAAUGGCUUUGGAAACUGUGCGGCUAGAGUACCGGAGGGGUAAGCGGAAUUCCUAGUGUAGCGGUGAAAUGCGUAGAUAUUAGGAGGAACACCAGUGGCGAAGGCGGCUUACUGGACGGUAACUGACGUUGAGGCUCGAAAGCGUGGGGAGCAAACAG
rnacentral:rRNA from 1 species